AAAUAAUUUUACUUUUAGCUGCAUGAUUACGUCGAAAUUCCGCAUUGCUUCAGUCUCUUCCAACUGAGAGGUUCGUUUGUUAUAAUCAUUGAGAAGAUGAAUUACAUGAUCACCGCCAUCGUUUUUGUCGUCGUUGUUUGCUAUUUCAUCGCAGUGGCCACGGGUUUUCUGAUCCCAGCAAUCACAUCCGAGUUCGAUCGUCGCUUCGUUGGUUGUGUGUGUGUUACUUCCCCUUGCCCCUGCGAUGGAUCGAAGUACUCAGCACUGUAGUAAACAUCCAUCAUUCAAAGACCUAUGGCGUGUCAAAUAUGUCGACAUAUAUAUAUGUGAAAAAUGUUGAUUAUAUGUCGAUAUUAUAUUUUGUACAUUAAUGUACACAGAAGAAAUAAAGGCAUCAGUUGG